UAUUUAUCUCUCUCUGACUGGCUUAUUUCGCUUAGCAUGAUGCUCUCCAGGACCCUCCAUCCUGUCUCAAACAAAGGUGUUUAAGACAAGCCGUGAAUAUUUGGUUACAUUCGGGCAUUGAAAACAUAAAUGAAACUGAAGAUUCAACUGAACCUUUGAUAGAUCGUGUAUAUGAGCAAGGCAGUUUCACCUCUCAUUGAUGGGACUUGCUGUUUCUACUGUAUGGGAUGGUGAUAGAGAAUGCUCAGGAAUGAGUUCCACAAGAACAACUUUCUCCUGCAGUAUCUGAGAGUGUUUUUAAUUAGGUGAUCCUAUGUACUGGGCUUAGUAUUCAAAAGCAAGGAUAUAAAGAGAAAAAAGAGCCAAUAGAGAAAUGAUUUUUGGACCAGGCCCCGUGGACUGAUUUCCCCAGCUCUGGAUGCUCACGCCUCAAGCGAUAAGGAGCCAGCCUCUGAGGGCUCCGCCCUGUGAGGCUCCCACAUUCCAACCUGGGACUCUGAUACAGUGGAGCCUCGGGCAAAAGGGCAUACUGGCCAUUCCAGGGCAAGCACAAAGCCCACUUUCCAGGCAGUGGAGUGGCUGCACUACUGGAUCUACCCCUUGGAGUCAAGCUGCCCAUGAUCCUGGGGAGCAAUCAUUUAUACUUUAGGACGAAGUUAAGUGAAAAGGUUAAGUAGCCCAUGUUUGAUCUUGAGAAACAUCUCAUUGCUGUGACCUGCAGAGGGCAACCUACACUGAUGCACAGCUAAUGACUGCUAGGAUGGCAAGGCGUCUUUACCAUCCCCCAUCUCUGGACUGUUACUCCAGUCUCGUCAGCGUGUUGCUUGGGGCCACUGCUGUCUGUGGUCGGAGUAUUCUGUCUGUUCCUGUCUCAGAUCCAUUGUUGCAGUUUCCACAUGGACUUGGAGGAGUUCUCUGGAAAUACACAAGCAUAUCCUCGACCAAAGAGCAACAAACUUCGUUGCUUUUCAGAUCCUGGCCAAUACUGUAAUGCACACAUAUCAAGUAAAGGAGUGCCCAGGACCUGUGAGAGAACCUUGGAAUGCAGUCCAUUAUUAUUCAAGAAUGACCUUUUAUUAUGGAAACACUAAUCUUGUUGCCUAAAUACAGCCCCUAUAUGCUCCUUGUGUCAUUUUAGCCAUCUUUUAGGUUCUCAUUAAGGUAUUAACACCAUCCUGUUAAUGAAAAUAGACUAAGAACUCAUACCAAAAACAAGCAAGCAAACAAAAAACCUCACCACUUUGCUUUCUUGACAUUCUUAUGGCUAAUGACCAGGAGUUCGAAGAAUCAAAUCUCUGACCUGAAGAUUUAAACAAAAGCAUGGAAAAUUUAUUGAGACUCCUGCACGAGGAAGUGGCCCAUAAUGGGUAGCCACUGAAGCCUUGUCAUCUAGGGCAUUUGGACAAGCAAUAUAACAGUCUCCAGGAGCAGCCAUUCACAGGAAGAUAUCCGGAGGAGAUUAACAGAAGGAGGCUACCUCACCAGCAAUAAAGUUGUCUAUAAUCUGAGAGAAUUUAAUAAGUAUGGGCAACAUUUCAUGAGUCUAAAGUUAGAUAUCAAAAACAACUACUUAAAGAACAAAUUUGAAAUCAAUUCUCAGAUAUUCCAGCCGUCUUUGGAAACUCAUAUCCCUAAACCCACUGAGUUAUGAAUAAUUACUGUGCAAAAUUUGUUUUGAAGGAAUCAGCUCCACAUUUUACCACUGUCUUGGCCAUAAGACCAGUUACUGUCACGAUAUUUGAAUGUGACAAGUAGGAAAUUAGACCAACGUGAGGGCACAGCGGAGGAGCAGCACCUCCUCUGGAUGGACAGAGAAGAAAGACGACAGCAGGAACAAACAAGAAGAAAACUUAAGUCUCCCUAAACUGUG